UACCAGACUCCUACGGGAGGCAGCAGUGGGGGAUAUUGCACAAUGGGGGGAACCCUGAUGCAGCGACGCCGCGUGAGCGAUGAAGUAUUUCGGUAUGUAAAGCUCUAUCAGCAGGGAAGAAAAUGACGGUACCUGAAGAAGAAGCCCCGGCUAACUACGUGCCAGCAGCCGCGGUAAUACGUAGGGGGCAAGCGUUAUCCGGAUUUACUGGGUGUAAAGGGGGCGCAGACGGCGAUGCAAGCCAGGAGUGAAAGCCCGGGGCCCAACCCCGGGACUGCUCUUGGAACUGCGUGGCUGGAGUGCAGGAGGGGCAGGCGGAAUUCCUGGUGUAGCGGUGAAAUGCGUAGAUAUCAGGAGGAACACCGGUGGCGAAGGCGGCCUGCUGGACUGCAACUGACGUUGAGGCCCGACAGCGUGGGGAGCAAACAGGAUUAGAUCCCCUCGUA
rnacentral:rRNA from 1 species